UAGACAUGCUCAGRWSGAMRACGCKGGCGGCGUGCCUAACACAUGCAAGUCGAACGGUAACAGGGACUUCGGUCCGCUGACGAGUGGCGCACGGGUGAGUAACGCGUGGAGUUACCUACCCAUCAGUGAGGAACAACCUGGAGAAAUCCAGGCUAAUACCGCAUACGACCUUCGGGUGAAAGAGGGGGAUCUUCGGACCUCUCGCUGAUGGAUGGUUCCGCGUCCGAUUAGUUAGUUGGUAAGGUAAUGGCUUACCAAGACGAUGAUCGGUAGCUGGUUUGAGAGGAUGAUCAGCCACACUGGAACUGAGACACGGUCCAGACUCCUACGGGAGGCAGCAGUGGGGAAUUUUGCACAAUGGGCGCAAGCCUGAUGCAGCGACGCCGCGUGCGGGAAGAAGGCCUUCGGGUUGUAAACCGCUUUCAACAGGGAAGAAGGAAUGAGGGUCAAUACCCCUCUGCCUUGACGGUACCUGUAGAAGAAGCCCCGGCUAAUUUCGUGCCAGCAGCCGCGGUAAUACGAAAGGGGCAAGCGUUGUUCGGAUUUACUGGGCGUAAAGAGAUCGUAGGUGGCUUGUUAAGUCGGAUGUGAAAAUCCCGGGGCUCAACCCCGGAACUGCAUUCGAUACUGGCAGGCUUGAGUUCGGGAGGGGGAAGCGGAAUUCCGUGGUGUAGCAGUGAAAUGCGUAGAUAUACGGAGGAACACCUGAGGCGAAGGCGGCUUCCUGGACCGAUACUGACACUGAGGAUCGAAAGCGUGGGUAGCAAACAGGAUUAGAUACCCUGGUAGUCCACGCCCUAAACGAUGUCUACUAGCCGUUGCGGGUAUCGACCCCUGCAGUGGCGCAGCUAACGCAAUAAGUAGACSGCCYGSGGAGUACGCCSCACGCUACUCGGUGA
rnacentral:rRNA from 1 species